AGGGGGUGAAGGGGAGGCCAGUCACGCAGAGGACUUUAGUCUGAGAAAUUGAAACUAACUGACCUACUGUGAACUGGCCUCACGACCCCCUGA
ensembl:miRNA Mir1936 microRNA 1936